AUGGCGACCGGCGCACGGGUGAGUAACGCGUAUCCAACCUGCCCUUUACUAUGGGACAGCCCGUCGAAAGGCGGAUUAAUACCGUAUGUUGUCAUGUUGAUGCAUAUUUUCAUGACCAAAGGCUUCGGCCGGUAAAGGAUGGGGAUGCGUCUGAUUAGCUUGCCGGCGGGGUAACGGCCCACCGGGGCGACGAUCAGUAGGGGUUCUGAGAGGAAGGUCCCCACAUUGGAACUGAGACACGGUCCAAACUCCUACGGAAGGCAGCAG
rnacentral:rRNA from 1 species